GUAAAAUUGAGAAUGGAAAUGGGGAAUGUGUCAAAGAGACAACAACCCGACCAAAUAAAAAACAACAGCAGAGGGUCACCAACAGGUCUUCAAUGUAGCAAGAAAUUCCCGCACCCGAAGGCGUCCUUCAGCUGGCCCCUAAACAAAUAUAUACUAGUCCAGUGAUAAUGAACGCCAUACUAAUUUCCAAAUUGUACACAAGAAACUAAAAUUAAAAUAAUACAAGACUAACAAAGGCCAGAGUCUCCUGACUUGGGACAGGCGCAAAAAUGCGGCGGGGUUAAACAUGUUUGUGAGAUCUCAACCCUCCCCCUAUACCUCUAGCCAAUGUAGAAAAGUAAACGCAUAACAAUACGCAUAUUAAAAUUCAGUUCAAGAGAAGUCCGAGUCUGAUGUCAGAAGAUGUAACCAAAGAAAAUAAACAAAAUGACAAUAAUACAUAAAUAACAACAGACUACUAGCAGUUAACAGACAUGCCAGCUCCAGACUUCAAUUAAACUGACUGAAAGAUUAUGAUUUCAUCAUAUGAACAUCAGUCACAAUCCUUCCCGUUAGGGGUUUAGUAUCAUACUAUCAUAACAUAUAUGAGAAGAACAUAACCCGUGUCAUGCCAACAACUGUUUUUAGAAUAAAUGUGUUUAGUUCCGAUGCAAAAACCUUAUUAGUGACUCAAUAUUAAC
rnacentral:lncRNA from 1 species